rnacentral:lncRNA from 1 species
UAAAAUUCUACUGAAAUUUUCGUCUCGGAAGGGGGAGGGAUGCCAGAGAGGAGCGGAGGGUGGUGGCCUAAAAAGAAGAAAUUAAAAAUGCAAAAUAAAAAAAAUAAAACAAAUAGACUUACCUAGGCGACUACGGCGGCGGUGGAGGCGAAACUGGAAAAAGGGGAAGGGGGAGGUGGAGGGGAAGAAAGGGGAGUAGGAGG